UACGUAGGGUGCGAGCGUUAAUCGGAAUUACUGGGCGUAAAGGGUGAGUAGGCGGUUGUAUAAGUUAGAUGUGAAAUACCUGAGCUCAACUUGGGAGGUGCAUUUAAUACUGUACAUACUAGAGACUGUCAGAGGGGUGUAGAAUUCCAAGUGUAGCAGUGAAAUGCGUAGAGAUUUGGAGGAAUACCGAUGGCGAAGGCAGCACCCUGGGAUAAGUCUGACGCUGAGUCACGAAAGCGUGGGUAGCAAACAGG
rnacentral:rRNA from 1 species